GUUGUUUGAGGCGGUAAAUUCCGUUGCAACCACGCACCCUAUGGGUUAAAAGAGAUGCAGGAGCCGCGACACCUGCCAAAUAAC
rnacentral:ncRNA from 1 species